GCUGGGCAUGGUGGCUCGUGCCUGUAAUCUGAGCUACUUGAGAGGCUGAGGCAGGAGAAUCGCUUGAACCCGGGAGACAGAAGUUGCAGUGAGCUGAGAUCACGCCACUGCACUCCAGCCUGGGUGACAGAGCGAGACUCUGUCUCAA
rnacentral:SRP_RNA from 2 species